UACGUAGGGUGCAAGCGUUAAUCGGAAUUACUGGGCGUAAAGCGUGCGCAGGCGGUUUUGUAAGUCUGUCGUGAAAUCCCCGGGCUUAACCUGGGAAUUGCGAUGGAGACUGCAAGGCUAGAAUCUGGCAGAGGGGGGUAGAAUCCCACGUGUAGCAGUGAAAUGCGUAGAGAUGUGGAGGAACACCGAUGGCGAAGGCAGCCCCCUGGGUCAAGAUUGACGCUCAUGCACGAAAGCGUGGGGAGCAAACAGG
rnacentral:rRNA from 1 species